rnacentral:sRNA from 1 species
AUAACGUUGACUUCAGACUUGGUUUAAUCGUUUUCUCCUUCUUUGACCGGAUAAUUUUUUUCUUUAUUUACAAGUAAUUUGAAAACAAGUUAACCGAAAAGAAUAAACGUCACAAAAAAAAAGAAGCGAGCGAAAGUGUUAGUGAGAAAGAGUUACAUACACACAAA